UAGACGUUUAAACUCUCACAAAUGCUAUAGAUUCAGCACAAAUUAAGACUUACUUCAGCUUCAACCUGCUUCGAUUGAUACCAGAUCAAAGAUACAGGUGUUAGAUAUCCCCAACAGGCACAUCAUUGAUGAUUACUUCUACUCUCAGAUUUGGUGAGUCCUCCUUGCAUCCGGAGGCACUCUAGAUCAGUCAUAUUUUCUUUGAAGUAUUUCUUUUUGGGUAUCCAUGGACUUAUCAUUGGCACUUUCUGAAUAGUAUUAGAGGUUUCAUAGACAGAUAGAUGAUAGUGUCGAUUAAUGUUUUGGUUUUCAAAACUAUUCUUAUGAUAUGGAGUUGAUUUGAGGUUUGUUUAAAUACAUUAUUCUCCUUGAAAUGUUGAUUUGGUUAGCCCA